AUUGAACGCUGGCGGCAUGCCUUACACAUGCAAGUCGAACGGCAGCGGGGGAGAAGCUUGCUUUUCCUGCCGGCGAGUGGCGAACGGGUGAGUAAUACAUCGGAACGUGCCCUGUAGUGGGGGAUAACUAGUCGAAAGAUUAGCUAAUACCGCAUACGACCUGCGGGUGAACGUGGGGGACCGCAAGGCCUCAAGCUCUAGGAGCGGCCGAUGUCUGAUUAGCUAGUUGGUGGGGUAAAGGCCUACCAAGGCGACGAUCAGUAGCUGGUCUGAGAGGACGAUCAGCCACACUGGGACUGAGACACGGCCCAGACUCCUACGGGAGGCAGCAGUGGGGAAUUUUGGACAAUGGGCGAAAGCCUGAUCCAGCAAUGCCGCGUGUGUGAAGAAGGCCUUCGGGUUGUAAAGCACUUUUGUCCGGAAAGAAAUGGCUCUGGCUAAUACCUGGGGUCGAUGACGGUACCGGAAGAAUAAGGACCGGCUAACUACGUGCCAGCCGCCGCGGUAA
rnacentral:rRNA from 1 species